AGGACGGUAUGGAGUGAUUAGGACCUGAGUGACGAACAUCUAAACAGAGGGAACAGCUGGGAAUUUACUAGGAUUGGGAGGGGGAUUAACUACAGCAUUAUCCCAAAGACACAGAAUGAGAGAGAAAGGUGAGAUAGUAAGAGUACAGUAGAGUGGGGGAAAAAGGGGAGCAUGUGAAAGGGUGCUAGACCAAAAGAGGGUGACCAUAUAUUAGAUAGUGAUAGUGAGGUGGAAAAGAGAAGAAAUAGAGGCUAUUAAGGCUCAGAGAAAGUGUUAAACAUAGUGAGCAGAGAAGCGAUCAGAGAUAAAUAUAGAGAGCAGUUGAGAAAGUGACACAUCGGGUGACGUUAUAAAGUGACGCAAGGAUUGUGACAUCAAGGGGGAGAGUCUGAGGUAAAAGAGGUUACAGAAGAGGACGAGAGAGAGAGAGAGAGAGAGUGAGAACUGAGAAGAGAGAGAAGCUUUAUAGACCGAGUGACCACCCCUCUCACAACACUGGACCCUUUAACUCAACUCCAUAUCUACCUGAAGCAGAGCAGCCGCUUCUACGACAUGUCAAAAGAGCAGCUGGAAGGAGUAGUUCGCACAGUGGAGGCCCUUUUGGGAGAGGCCGAGUCUCUAAGAGCAAAGUGUCAGCGGCAAAGUGAUGAAAUGCGGCAGCUCUGUGAAGAUAUGCGGAAUGAGAACAGGGACCUGGUAGAGCGUUUUGGCCAGGCUGAAAGGGACCUUGCCGAGGUCAAGCGCUCAGUCAAUGAGCUGAUGGACACCAAGGUGGCUUUUGAAGCCAGAGAAAGGCAAGUGCGGAAGCUGAGCAAACAACUGUGAGAAGUAAAAAAAAAAAGGAAACAACAUAGAAACAAAAAAUCAUCAGCCACAUUCAAAAUAUUGCUCCCCAUUUUUAUGUUUUUAGGAAGUCUAACUUCACUACUGCUAGUUUCUUUAUAGUUCCCUACUUCUAACAUGCCUACCUCCCUCACUCGAGGAGGGAAUUAUAUUGCAGCUCUUAAGUCAGAAGAGACAAUGUUUAUAAAUAACAGAUCAUCUUAUGUCACGGAUUAAACUCUGUUUCACUCUC